rfam:TPA: Bos taurus chromosome 4, whole genome shotgun sequence.
UCCCUGGUGGCUCAGUGGUAAAGAAUCUGCCUGUCAAGCAGGAAACUCAGGUUUGAUCCCUGGUUCUGGAA